CUCAGGCUAAAACCAUGCCUAGCCUCUCUGGUAUCCACAAAACCGAUGAGAACGACGACGGGGUCACCGAGGUAAGUAUUUUCUUUCCCUUUUAUUAUAUGUAUAUGCUUAUGUAUAGGCUAACAGCAAAACAGAAAAAAGAAAACCUAAAGAAAAAGGAACCCAAUCGAGAAAAGAGAAAAAGAAAACCUUUCUUGUGUAUUGAUUUCAUUUUUCUCAUUCAAUAUGCCUGUGUCCUCCACAGAUUCUGAAAAAUGGCUUUUUAUAUAGCCGAAAAAGAUAAAAAAUUACAAAAUAAAGAUAUAUUUUUGCUCUGUUCUUUCUUUUUUUUUUAUUUCUAUUAUUUUUUGCUAGCCUAUUUUGCUUUGCUGUUGUUCUCUUCCUGCUUUUCUUGCUACGUGUUUUUGC
rnacentral:lncRNA from 1 species